GACGAACGCUGGCGGCGUGCUUAACACAUGCAAGUCGAACGGAAAGGCCCUGCUUUUGUGGGGUGCUCGAGUGGCGAACGGGUGAGUAACACGUGAGUAACCUGCCCUUGACUUUGGGAUAACUUCAGGAAACUGGGGCUAAUACCGGAUAGGAGCUCCUGCUGCAUGGUGGGGGUUGGAAAGUUUCGGCGGUUGGGGAUGGACUCGCGGCUUAUCAGCUUGUUGGUGGGGUAGUGGCUUACCAAGGCUUUGACGGGUAGCCGGCCUGAGAGGGUGACCGGCCACAUUGGGACUGAGCUACGGCCCAGACUCCUACGGGAGGCAGCAGUGGGGAAUAUUGCACAAUGGGCGGAAGCCUGAUGCAGCAACGCCGCGUGCGGGAUGACGGCCUUCGGGUUGUAAACCGCUUUCGCCUGUGACGAAGCGUGAGUGGCGGUAAUGGGUAAAGAAGCACCGGCUAACUACGUG
rnacentral:rRNA from 1 species